CCAGGUCAGGGGGGACUACCCGCUGAGUU
rnacentral:rRNA from 1 species